rnacentral:rRNA from 1 species
CCUACGGGAGGCAGCAGUGAGGAAUAUUGGUCAAUGGGCGCGAGCCUGAACCAGCAAAGUAGCGUGAAGGAUGACUGCCCUACGGGUUGUAAACUUCUUUUAUAAAGGAAUAAAGUGAGGCACGUGUGCCUUAUUGUAUGUACUUUAUGAAUAAGGAUCGGCUAACUCCGUGCCAGCAGCCGCGGUAAUACGGAGGAUCCGAGCGUUAUCCGGAUUUAUUGGGUUUAAAGGGAGCGUAGAUGGGUUGUUAAGUCAGUGGUGAAAGUUUGCGGCUCAACCGUAAAAUUGCAAUUGAUACUGGCAGUCUUGAGUACAGUUGAGGUAGGCGGAAUUCGUGGUGUAGCGGUGAAAUGCUUAGAUAUCACGAAGAACUCCGAUUGCGAAGGCAGCUUACUAAACUGCCACUGACAUUGAUGCUCGAAAGUGUGGGUAUCAAACAGGAUUAGAUACCCGAGUAGUC